UUUUUAAAUGCCAGCAAUACUCGGUGAGCCUAUUAUGACCUUGUGCUUGUUGCACUAUGAAGGUCUAGUCUCAGAUCCCUCUGAAGGAAUAUAUGGAACUGGGGCACAUUCAGACUUUGGUUUUAGUACCUUGUUGGCAACAGAUGAUGUCUCAGGUCUCCAAAUUUGCAAGAACAAGGAUGCUAAACCUCCGACAUGG